AAACAAUCAAAACUUUCAACAACGGAUCUCUUGGCUGUGGCAUCGAUGAAGAACGCAGCGAAAUGCGAUAACUAAUGUGAAUUGCAGAAUUCAGUGAAUCAUCGAGUCUUUGAACGCACAUUGCGCCCGCUGGUAUUCCGGCGGGCAUGCCUGUCCGAGCGUCAUU
rnacentral:rRNA from 1 species